CCGCCAGCGCGAAGAAGGCGGCCAUGAGUCCGUUGCAGGCCCGCCACAGCGCUGGCGCCAUGGCUCGGAGAACACGGCGCGGGGCGGUGAGUCCUGCCACGUGCGGGGCGCACCUGACAUACCUGGAUAUAAACAAUAUCCAAGGCCCCUAAGGUAAAAGCCUUGCUCCAAGUCCCCUUCUGACUUCUAGUCACUUCCGUGCUGCCAGCAGAGGGCGUGGGAUUCUUCCUGAGGAGCCUGAGUCUCAGCUUUGCCAGGUCCUUGCUGUGUGACCUUGGCUCCUGUGGGGCUAUUGCAGAGGAGAAACUUCUGGAACAGAGAGCUCCUUGUCCAGGGAUGCUGCAUCUGGGUGAGCUGCUCCUUGGAUAUGGUGCAAGUGUGGCCAGGGUGUGGUGUGGAAGGAGCAGAAGUCUUCAGGACUGAAUCUGGAUGGACCACUGUGACAGCUGUAUACCCAGAUUAUAUUUCCCAGAAAGUGCCUGCAACAAUACUUCCAGUCCCAUAUGUGCUUCUAGAGCCGGUCACUCUCUCAGUUUAAAGGUGGAGUCUAUUUCCCUUCCCCUUAAGACUGCCUCAGUGGUUAGACUAUGGCAAGAAAGAUAUCAUGUGACUUCCAAGACAAAUCCUAAAAGGCAACACAGCUUCCACCUGGCUCUUUCUAUUUUGAGCCACUUACCUAUGGAACACCAGCCACCAUGUUGGAAGGAAGCCCAGGUGACAUGGAGAAGCAUCUGUGAGUGCUCUGGCAGGCACGCCAGCUUGAAUCUCAGCCAUCAGCCAGCAUCAACCACCAGAUGCGUGAGAGAGAGCCUUCACAUGACUUCAGGCCUCAGCCUGCAAGCUGUCCCAGCUUAUGCUGAGUGAGCACAGACAACCUAUCCCUGCUGAGCCCUGUCCAGUCUGCAGAUUUCUGAGCAAAAUAAAUGAUGUUAUUGUUUUAAGCC
ensembl:lncRNA TMEM220-AS1 TMEM220 antisense RNA 1